UCUGUGGGACUUUAGCAUGGUUAUGAAUUGUGUGGUACAGGAAAAUUAAGUGCUCGUUCAUACCUAGCUGGAGUUAAAUGAAAAUAUCAAAGUCUUGAUGGGAAGCAAAAAGAAUGGUGCCAGGAGGAAGAAAUAUAGAGACUUUGUGAAGAGGCUACUUGAGCUGCUGAAAAUCUAGAAAGCUGGCUCCAUUCUAGUUCACCUGUCAUGGCACCUCACGACAAUGAGCAGUGUGAGGUCACCAGUGUGAGGUCACCGUUUGCAGGCAGUGGACACAAAGAAACAGCAAGCAAGAUUGCAAGGACUUGACUAAGACCACACAGUGACUCAGAAGCAAGCCUGAGAAAGGAUCACAAAAGCACUGGAAGAAACUGCAAAUCUUGUUUCUACAAAGAAUGAAGAGUGAAAUUAAAUACCAACCAUUACUACAGUUUUCUUGAUAAUGUUGAAGCUGAAGAAUAAAGACUUUGGAGAAGA